rnacentral:tRNA from 1 species
GGCUACCUGGCGCAAUGGUAGCGCGUUUGGCUUCGAUUGCCUUACGUAAUCUGCUACCAAAAGGUUGCAGGUUCGAGUCCUGCGGUGGUCA